UGGCGGACGGGUGAGUAACGCGUGGGUAACCUGCCUCAUAGAGGGGGACAACAGUUGGAAACGACUGCUAAUACCGCAUAGUAAGAAAGAUUCGCAUGUUUCUUUCUUGAAAGAUUUAUCGCUAUGAGAUGGACCCGCGUCUGAUUAGCUAGUUGGUAAGGUAACGGCUUACCAAGGCGACGAUCAGUAGCCGGCUUGAGAGAGUGAACGGCCACAUUGGGACUGAGACACGGCCCAAACUCCUACGGGAGGCAGCAG
rnacentral:rRNA from 1 species